AGGAACUAGAAUGCACUUCAGUGCAACUCAUCUUAGUCUACAACAUGUCUCCAUGCAGUUCCUUGCAAUAUAUACAUAGAAAUUGCAAAAAGGCCUGUAGAGUUUGAGCUACAGACUCUACAGGCCUCAGCUGAAUGUUGCCUCAUGUUAAAUGUUAAAGCUGUUGACAGUACAAUGAGAAAAAGACUGGACAAGUAUGGCCUGUUUGGAAGGGUUGCCUGGAGAAAGAAAUCCUCUCUGAGCAUUGCAGCACGGGUUGCAAGCUCGCAUCUAAACAAACCACAAAACUUCUAGAACAAUGUCCUUUGGACAGAUAAGAUGUUUGGUUUUCUCCAAAUGUGGUGCUGUGCAUCAUGGCCAAAGACAGCAUAUCAAGACAAAUACGUCACAGUAAGCAUAGUGGUGGAGGGAUGAUGAUUUGGGAUUGUUUCACAGCCAAAAGGACCUGGGCAUCCUCUUCUGUACACCACAGUGUUCUAAAGUCAAACAUGAGGCCGUCUUUCUACUGGAUCAUCACUCAGUUUUUUCACACACUUCUGCAUUUUGUCUCAGUUUUUGUUGUUCUUUUUUCUUUUUAUUCUUUGUUUUUUUUUUUUUUAAAGAAUAAGCAGGACAUUAUUUUUUUUAUUUCAGAAGGGUUCCAUAUUAGUGACAACAAGAACUUUAGCUCACCUCUCACUUGCCAGAGCCUCAUUCUUGACCCUAGCUCCUGCCUUACCCCCAACAUCUCCAUCCACAUUCGCAGGGCUGACAGAAACAACAUCAACCUUAUAUUUCAGCAAUACAGGGGACAAAUGAUAAACAUGUAAACGGGAGAGAAAAGGUCAAAAGGGAGAAGCUUUUGUUUUAGUGUGGAUGUGUUUAUGUGUGUGUGGCUUCACGGUGAAAGUGGCAUGUUCCAUUACCCGACCAUGAUUUAGCUUACUCUGAGGUAAUAGUCAGUCCUGGAGGGGUCAGCAGAGGGCCAGUGUGGGAGAGGAGGGCAUGUAGGGAGAGAAACGAGAGGUAAACAACAGAAUAAGAACUGGCUUGAAAAUUGAGCUUAGCAAGAAAAAACAGAUGAAAAGAGCAAGACAUGAAGAAAGAAAGAAAAUGAAAAAACUGGGCAUUCUUCACAAAGUGCCGUUGUUGAUGGACAUUUUGGCAUAUUGGCAGGAGUGGUGCGGUUUGGGUUGGAUGUGUGUGUUUUGGGCAGGCAUUUGCUUUUGUGACAACGACAGGCCAGGCUGGCUGAGCCGUCACUCCAGAAGCCUUAGCAGCACACAGCCACCUGUCCACUCCUAUCAGCGCUGCCUGUGUCCC
ensembl:lncRNA